UUCCGGUUGAUCCUGCCAGAGGUCACUGCUAUNGGGGUUCGAUUAAGCCAUGCGAGUCGAGAGGGUUCGGCCCUCGGCGUACUGCUCAGUAACACGUGGAUAACCUGCCCUAGGGGAGGGGAUAACCCCGGGAAACUGGGGAUAAUACCCUAUAGGUUACAGAUGCUGGAAUGCCCUGUAACCAAAAGCUCCGGCGCCCUAGGAUGGAUCUGCGGCCGAUUAGGUUGUUGUUGGGGUAACGGCCCAACAAGCCCGUAAUCGGUACGGGUUGUGGGAGCAAGAGCCCGGAGUUGGAUUCUGAGACACGAAUCCAGGCCCUACGGGGCGCAGCAGGCGCGAAACCUUUACAAUGCGGGCAACCGUGAUAAGGGAACCUCGAGUGCCUGUAAACGCAGGCUGNUCAGGUGUUUAAAACGCACCUGGAGAAAGGGCCGGGCAAGACCGGUGCCAGCCGCCGCGGUAAUACCGGCGGCUCGAGUGGUGGNCGCUUUUUAUUGGGCUUAAAGCGUUCGUANCUGGGUUGUUAAGUCUCUUGGGAAAUCUGGCGGCUUAACCGUCAGGCGUCUAANGGAUACUGGCCAUCUUGGAA
rnacentral:rRNA from 1 species